rnacentral:tRNA from 1 species
GCGCCUAUAGCUCAGCUGGAUAGAGCACUGGUCUUCGGAACCAGGUGUCGGGGGUUCGAAUCCUCCUAGGCGCG